GAUGAAGAACGUAGCGAAAUGCGAUAAGUAAUGUGAAUUGCAGAAUUCCGUGAAUCAUCGAAUCUUUGAACGCACAUUGCGCCCUCUGGUAUUCCGGGGGGCAUGCCUGUUCGAGCGUCAUUACAACCCUCAAGCUUUGCUUGGUAUUGGACAUUGCCAGUUUCUGGCAGGUCUUAAAAUCAGUGGCGGUGCCAUUUGGCUUCAAGCGUAGUAAUUCUUCUCGCUUUGGAGAUCCAGGUGGUUACUUGCCAAUAACCCCCAAUUUUUUCAGGUUGACCUCGGAUCAGGUAGGGAUACCCGCUGAACUUAAGCAUAUCAAUAAGCUGAGGA
rnacentral:misc_RNA from 1 species